AGUUCACAAGGUGAUGGUGUUCCACCUUUCCCAACCGCCGGUUCGCUCGAAUCGGAUGAUGACGCCUGAUAUACA
rnacentral:ncRNA from 19 species